rnacentral:rRNA from 1 species
UACAGAGGGUGCGAGCGUUAAUCGGAAUUACUGGGCGUAAAGCGUGCGUAGACGGUUAUUUAAGUCGGGUGUGAAAGCCCCGGGCUCAACCUGGGAAUUGCAUUCGAGACUGAAUAGCUAGGGUACGGUAGAGGGAAGCGGAAUUUCCGGUGUAGCGGUGAAAUGCGUAGAUAUCGGAAGGAACAUCAGUGGCGAAAGCGGCUUCCUG